AGUCUGGUGCCAGCAGCCGCGGUAAUUCCAGCUCCAAUAGCGUAUAUUAAAGUUGUUGCAGUUAAAAAGCUCGUAGUUGAAUUUUGGACUUGGCUGGGCGGCUCUUCAUUUAAGAGCACUUCUCUGGCUGAGUCUUUCCUUCUGGCGAACUAUUGUGCUGUUCAUUUAGUGCGGUAGGGAACCAGGACUUUUACUUUGAAAAAAUUAGAGUGUUUAAAGCAGGCUUACGCUUGAAUACAUUAGCAUGGAAUAAUAAAAUAGGACUUUGGUUUUAUUUUGUUGGUUUUCGGAACCGAAGUAAUGAUUAAUAGGGAUAGUUGGGGACAUUAGUAUUAAGUCGUCAGAGGUGAAAUUCUUGGAUUGACUUAAGACUAACUUCUGCGAAAGCAUUUGUCAAGGAUGUUUUCAUUAAUCAAGAACGAAAGUUAGGGGAUCGAAGACGAUCAGAUACCGUCGUAGUCUUAACCAUAAACUAUGCCGACUAGGGAUCGGGCAAUGUUCAUUAAAGACUUGUUCGGCACCUUAUGAGAAAUCAAAGUUUUUAGGUUCCGGGGGGAGUAUGGUCGCAAGGCUGAAACUUAAAGGAAUUGACGGAAGGGCACCACCAGGAGUGGAGCCUGCGGCUUAAUUUGACCCAACACGGGGAAACUCACCAGGUCCAGACAUAGUAAGGAUUGACAGAUUGAGAGCUCUUUCUUGAUUCUACGGGUGGUGGUGCAUGGCCGUUCUUAGUUGGUGGAGUGAUUUGUCUGGUUAAUUCCGUUAACGAACGAGACCUUAACCUGCUAAAUAGUUGCAUUAACUUUGGUUGAUGAUCAACUUCUUAGAGGGACUAUAGACGUUUAGUCUAUGGAAGUUUGAGGCAAUAACAGGUCUGUGAUGCCCUUAGAUGUUCUGGGCCGCACGCGCGCUACAUUGAUGAAGGCAGCAAGUAAUUCACCUUGGCCGGAAGGUCUGGGUAAUCUUCUGAAACUUUAUCGUGCUGGGGAUAGUCCUUUGCAAUUAUUGGACUUCAACGAGGAAUUCCUAGUAAGCGUGAGUCAUCAGCUCGCGUUGAUUACGUCCCUGCCCUUUGUACACACCGCCCGUCGCUAGUACCGAUUGAAUGGCUUAGUGAGACCUCCGGAUUGGCGAUUUAUUGGUGGCAACACCAUAGAAUUGCCGAGAAGUUGGUCAAACUUGGUCAUUUAGAGGAACUAAAAGUCGUAACAAGGUAACCGUAGGUGAACCUGCGGUUG
rnacentral:rRNA from 1 species